rnacentral:rRNA from 1 species
AGUCGAACGGUAACAGGAAGAAGCUUGCUUCUUUGCUGACGAGUGGCGGACGGGUGAGUAAUGUCUGGGAAACUGCCUGAUGGAGGGGGAUAACUACUGGAAACGGUAGCUAAUACCGCAUAACGUCGCAAGACCAAAGAGGGGGACCUUCGGGCCUCUUGCCAUCGGAUGUGCCCAGAUGGGAUUAGCUAGUAGGUGGGGUAACGGCUCACCUAGGCGACGAUCCCUAGCUGGUCUGAGAGGAUGACCAGCCACACUGGAACUGAGACACGGUCCAGACUCCUACGGGAGGCAGCAGUGGGGAAUAUUGCACAAUGGGCGCAAGCCUGAUGCAGCCAUGCCGCGUGUAUGAAGAAGGCCUUCGGGUUGUAAAGUACUUUCAGCGGGGAGGAAGGGAGUAAAGUUAAUACCUUUGCUCAUUGACGUUACCCGCAGAAGAAGCACCGGCUAACUCCGUGCCAGCAGCCGCGGUAAUACGGAGGGUGCAAGCGUUAAUCGGAAUUACUGGGCGUAAAGCGCACGCAGGCGGUUUGUUAAGUCAGAUGUGAAAUCCCCGGGCUCAACCUGGGAACUGCAUCUGAUACUGGCAAGCUUGAGUCUCGUAGAGGGGGGUAGAAUUCCAGGUGUAGCGGUGAAAUGCGUAUAGAUCUGGAGGAAUACCGGUGGCGAAGCGGCCCCCUGGACGAAGACUGACGCUCAGUGCGAAAGCGUGGGGAGCAAACAGGAUUAGAUACCCCUGGUAGUCCACGCCGUAAACGAUGUCACUUGGAGGUUGUGCCC